UCAGGAUGAACGCUGGCGGCGUGCCUAAUACAUGCAAGUCGAGCGAACAGAUAAGGAGCUUGCUCCUUUGACGUUAGCGGCGGACGGGUGAGUAACACGUGGGUAACCUACCUAUAAGACUGGGAUAACUUCGGGAAACCGGAGCUAAUACCGGAUAACAUUUGGAACCGCAUGGUUCUAAAGUGAAAGAUGGUUUUGCUAUCACUUAUAGAUGGACCCGCGCCGUAUUAGCUAGUUGGUAAGGUAACGGCUUACCAAGGCGACGAUACGUAGCCGACCUGAGAGGGUGAUCGGCCACACUGGAACUGAGACACGGUCCAGACUCCUACGGGAGGCAGCAGUAGGGAAUCUUCCGCAAUGGGCGAAAGCCUGACGGAGCAACGCCGCGUGAGUGAUGAAGGGUUUCGGCUCGUAAAACUCUGUUAUUAGGGAAGAACAAACGUGUAAGUAACUGUGCACGUCUUGACGGUACCUAAUCAGAAAGCCACGGCUAACUACGUGCCAGCAGCCGCGGUAAUACGUAGGUGGCAAGCGUUAUCCGGAAUUAUUGGGCGUAAAGCGCGCGUAGGCGGUUUCUUAAGUCUGAUGUGAAAGCCCACGGCUCAACCGUGGAGGGUCAUUGGAAACUGGGAAACUUGAGUGCAGAAGAGGAAAGUGGAAUUCCAUGUGUAGCGGUGAAAUGCGCAGAGAUAUGGAGGAACACCAGUGGCGAAGGCGACUUUCUGGUCUGUAACUGACGCUGAUGUGCGAAAGCGUGGGGAUCAAACAGGAUUAGAUACCCUGGUAGUCCACGCCGUAAACGAUGAGUGCUAAGUGUUAGGGGGUUUCCGCCCCUUAGUGCUGCAGCUAACGCAUUAAGCACUCC
rnacentral:rRNA from 1 species